UGGAGGUAUCAGAAGUGCGAAUGCUGACAUAAGUAACGAUAAAGCGGGUGAAAAGCCCGCUCGCCGGAAGACCAAGGGUUCCUGUCCAACGUUAAUCGGGGCAGGGUGAGUCGACCCCUAAGGCGAGGCCGAAAGGCGUAGUCGAUGGGAAACAGGUUAAUAUUCCUGUACUUGGUGUUACUGCGAAGGGGGGACGGAGAAGGCUAUGUUAGCCGGGCGACGGUUGUCCCGGUUUAAGCAUGUAGGCUGGUUAUCCAGGCAAAUCCGGAUAAUCAAGGCUGAGGUGUGAUGACGAGGCACUACGGUGCUGAAGUAACAAAUGCCCUGCUUCCAGGAAAAGCCUCUAAGCAUCAGGUAACAUCAAAUCGUACCCCAAACCGACACAGGUGGUCAGGUAGAGAAUACCAAGGCGCUUGAGAGAACUCGGGUGAAGGAACUAGGCAAAAUGGUGCCGUAACUUCGGGAGAAGGCACGCUGGUGUGUAGGUGAAGUCCCUGCGGAUGGAGCUGAGACCAGUCGAAGAUACCAGCUGGCUGCAACUGUUUAUUAAAAACACAGCACUGUGCAAACACGAAAGUGGACGUAUACGGUGUGACGCCUGCCCGGUGCCGGAAGGUUAAUUGAUGGGGUUAUCCGUAAGGAGAAGCUCUUGAUCGAAGCCCCGGUAAACGGCGGCCGUAACUAUAACGGUCCUAAGGUAGCGAAAUUCCUUGUCGGGUAAGUUCCGACCUGCACGAAUGGCGUAAUGAUGGCCAGGCUGUCUCCACCCGAGACUCAGUGAAAUUGAACUCGCUGUGAAGAUGCAGUGUACCCGCGGCAAGACGGAAAGACCCCGUGAACCUUUACUAUAGCUUGACACUGAACAUUGAGCCUUGAUGUGUAGGAUAGGUGGGAGGCUUUGAAGCGUGGACGCCAGUCUGCGUGGAGCCAACCUUGAAAUACCACCCUUUAAUGUUUGAUGUUCUAACGUUGGCCCCUGACCGGGGUUGCGGACAGUGUCUGGUGGGUAGUUUGACUGGGGCGGUCUCCUCCCAAAGCGUAACGGAGGAGCACGAAGGUUAGCUAAUCCUGGUCGGACAUCAGGAGGUUAGUGCAAUGGCAUAAGCUAGCUUGACUGCGAGCGUGACGGCGCGAGCAGGUGCGAAAGCAGGUCAUAGUGAUCCGGUGGUUCUGAAUGGAAGGGCCAUCGCUCAACGGAUAAAAGGUACUCCGGGGAUAACAGGCUGAUACCGCCCAAGAGUUCAUAUCGACGGCGGUGUUUGGCACCUCGAUGUCGGCUCAUCACAUCCUGGGGCUGAAGUAGGUCCCAAGGGUAUGGCUGUUCGCCAUUUAAAGUGGUACGCGAGCUGGGUUUAGAACGUCGUGAGACAGUUCGGUCCCUAUCUGCCGUGGGCGCUGGAGAAUUGAGGGGGGCUGCUCCUAGUACGAGAGGACCGGAGUGGACGCAUCACUGGUGUUCGGGUUGUCAUGCCAAUGGCACUGCCCGGUAGCUAAAUGCGGAAGAGAUAAGUGCUGAAAGCAUCUAAGCACGAAACUUGCCCCGAGAUGAGUUCUCCCUGAGACU
rnacentral:rRNA from 1 species